rnacentral:rRNA from 1 species
AUACGGAGGAUCCGAGCGUUAUCCGGAUUUAUUGGGUUUAAAGGGUGCGCAGGCGGGAGAUUAAGUCGGCGGUGAAAUUUUUCAGCUCAACUGUAAAAGUGCCUUCGAUACUGGUUUCCUUGAGUGUGGAUGAAGUAGGCGGAAUUUGUGGUGUAGCGGUGAAAUGCUUAGAUAUCACGAGGAACUCCGAUUGCGCAGGCAGCUUACUAAACCACUACUGACGCUCAGGCACGAAGGCGUGGGGAUCAAACAGGAUUAGAUACCCUGGUAGUCCACGCAGUAAACGAUGAUUACUGGCUGUUUGCGAUACAAUGUAAGCGGCUGAGCGAAAGCGUUAAGUAAUCCACCUGGGGAGUACGUUCGCAAGAAUGAAACUCAAAUGAAUUGACGGGG